rnacentral:lncRNA from 1 species
GAGCAAAUGUUGUAGUAUUUGUAAUGGGUUGAGCUAACUGGAGAACAUACUUACCUGGACGGGGUCAAUGGGCGAUCGAUAAGACCCAUGGCCUAGGCUUGUGACCUCCAUUGCACUUGGGAGGGGUGCCGGCCUAAGGUCGGCCCAAGUGGCCGAGCCUACGUCAUAAUUUGUGGUAGAGGGGGCCUAUGUUCGCGCGGCCCCUACCCAAUUUGUAGUAAAAGAUUUAUAGCCCACUGAAUGUACAUGUGUACUUGGCCCAAUUGAAUCAAAUAUGGCCUUUCUUCUUUAUAUUGAUAUUUAUGGUGUCAUAAAUAGUCUCUUUACAUUUUCAAAUUCUUUGUAGUAACAAUAAUUCGAAUGAAAAUUAGGGAGGAAGAAGUUUUAAUUUCGGGAAGUAGUAAAUAAUUACAUUUGAGUAGUAUGCAAUACAUAAAGAGACACCAGAAAGUUGCUACAGAAACAAAGUCCCAUUGACUUGAAAACUCAUACCUUUCUCGGCCUUUUGGAUAAGAUCAAGUUUAGUAUCUAUUCUUAUCAGUUUAAUAACUGAUAUGUGGGCCAUUAGUACGCACGAUAUUAACUCUAUUUUUUGAGGGGGGGAGGGGGGGCUUUCGCGUGUCGCCUAAGCGUUGCACUACUGCUUGGGCCUGGCUACCCCACCAAUUCUAGUUCAAUGUUUGACUAGUCCAUGACUUAGGCCUAGUGCUUUGCCAAUAAGUUUGAGUUCUUCAUAUUAUUUACUGAUACCAAUUUAACAAACAAUGUAGCCAUUUUAGUUGAACAGUAAAUGCAAAGAAAUUUUGCACACUAGAAUUAAAAAAAAAAGUAAAUAUGGGUGCAAUGUCAAUCCUGAUAAUGCAAACUCCAUCCUGUUGAAGCUUUGACCAAAUUUAGUUCAAUGUUGCAGCGGUGUGUUGGUUUUGCCUAGUACUACAUGUGUUACCACUUGUAAUAUUCAUACCUCCCUUUCUCCUCCGUGUGUGAGAGAAACCGGUGGUGUCCAUGCACCUCAACUAUUUCAUCGAAUUAUUGGACACCUACCACCUUUCACGUACUGAAUAAUUGUCCCACCAAGACUUUGGCACAUGAAAAGAAAUCACAGAACCCCGGUUUCACAUGAUUGUCACUCAUUUCAUUGAUUACUAGACACCUCACGUACUAAAUACUGGUGUCCACCAAGACUUCACCACAUGAAAAGAAAUCACAAAACACCUGUUUCACAUAAUUUUCACCCAUUCCAUUGAUCGCUAGACACUGCUGGAUGCUAGCUAGAAGACUACUUUAGAAUCUGCACCUUAGUUAAGCUAUAAUUGCAAGGGUCUGAUAUCAACCACAUCAACAAUUCUGCAAAACACUUCAUUGUCUGUGCCUGGAAAAUUGUCCUGUAAAGAGAGAGGUUGGGAAGAAGGGUUAUGUAUUGAGUUUAUAUUAUGUCUGGAUGGAGCUAAAUAUCCCUUUUGAUAGAACAUUUAUAUUGUGAAAAAUGAACAACUCUGGAUCUCUAACCUGAAAUACGCAAAUAUAUUGAAGACUUUUUGAAUAUUGAAUCUAACAUCUAGCAUUGGUCCCGGAGAAGACCUCUCUCUUUUGUUAGAGCAAAGGGUGCCUAACCUGAAAGAGGAAAUAGGAAUUUUCCUCAAUGCGAAAGAGUUAUAUCAGUAGUUUAUCUAGGAUGAAUUCCUUACUACUUGUCUUAAUAAUGACAAUGAAGUAUGCCAAGGGAAACUUUUAAUAAAUUUUAAUGUCAAUUGUGAAAUUCAAUAUAAUAAACUGCAACAGUGAUAAUAUUUCUUUUAUAGUAGUAUCAACAAUUUACAAUAAUAACAACAAUAAUAAUAAUAAUAAUUGUAAUAAUAAUAAUAAUAAUAAUAAUAGUAAUAAUAAUAAUUAAAUAACUAUUAUGAUAUUUUAAGCAACAUAUAAAAUACUUGACUCAUGCUAGGCACUGUCCUAAGAAACUAUUUCCGCAAUGUGAAAUAUUUUUUCAGAAUUAAAUAACCACUUCCCUGAUUAAUUUUAGAGGGUAUUCGAAGUUAAGUCAGCCUUUCCUAAUUAAUCAGAGAAUACAGGAAUCAGCAAAAUUAAUUAUAAACCAACAAGUUAAAUGUAAAAUCAAAAAAUGAUUGGAUACAAUAGAAUUAAGGUAAGGAACUUUAGGGAAUGAUAAGAGUAAUGAAAAGAGAC